rnacentral:rRNA from 1 species
UGGGGAAUAUUGGACAAUGGGCGAAAGCCUGAUCCAGCCAUGCCGCGUGUGUGAAGAAGGUCUUCGGAUUGUAAAGCACUUUAAGUUGGGAGGAAGGGCAGGAAGCGAAUACCUUGCUGUUUUGACGUUACCGACAGAAUAAGCACCGGCUAACUCUGUGCCAGCAGCCGCGGUAAUACAGAGGGUGCAAGCGUUAAUCGGAAUUACUGGGCGUAAAGCGCGCGUAGGUGGUUCGUUAAGUUGAAUGUGAAAGCCCCGGGCUCAACCUGGGAACUGCAUCCAAAACUGGCGAGCUAGAGUAGGGCAGAGGGUGGUGGAAUUUCCUGUGUAGCGGAGAAAUGCGUAGAUAUAGGAAGGAACACCAGUGGCGAAGGCGACCACCUGGGCUCAUACUGACACUGAGGUGCGAAAGCGUGGGGAGCAAACAGG